rnacentral:misc_RNA from 1 species
GCAAACUUGGUCAUUUAGAGGAAGUAAAAGUCGUAACAAGGUUUCCGUAGGUGAACCUGCGGAAGGAUCAUUAACAAGAUCGAACCAAAAAAAUAUGGACGAUCAAAUCCAUAUCCACCUUGUGUGCACUUAUUGACCGUUCGCUUUGGCAGGAGUUGUCUUGGAUCCUGGCCCCCUGAGAUUUUUUUUGGGGGGAGGGAUCGAAGCGCGAGGGUGGAGGAAAAAAACCCCCUCCUACACCUCGGCCUGCCAGAGUUUUUUCAAUAUCCACACUUUUUUUAAACCUUUUUGGACUGAACCCUCGUCUCGAUUCUUUGUAAUCGGUCGAAUCUAAUACAACUUUCAACAACGGAUCUCUUGGCUCUCGCAUCGAUGAAGAACGCAGC